rnacentral:misc_RNA from 1 species
UUUCCGUAGGUGAACCUGCGGAAGGAUCAUUAUUGUAUAACCGAGGUGCGAGGGCUGUCGCUGACCCGAAAGGUCGUGCACGCCCGAGUGCCCUCACACACAUCCAUCUCACCCCUAUGUGCACCACCGCGCGGGUCCCCCUUUGGCUUGUUCGGAGGGGGGCUUACGUUUUCACACAAACUCUGUAUGCAGUGUAGAAUGUAUUUUUUGUUUUUGCGAUCACGCAAUCAAUACAACUUUCAACAACGGAUCUCUUGGCUCUC